CUGGUUGAUCCUGCCAGUAGUCAUACGCUUGUCUCAAAGAUUAAGCCAUGCACGUCUGAGAAUAAAGGGUUUUCUCUGAAUCUGCGAAUGGCUCAUUAUAUCAGUUAUAGUUUAUUUGAUAGUCCCUUACUACUUGGAUAACCGUAGUAAUUCUAGAGCUAAUACAUGCAUCAACUCCCAACUGCUUGUCGGACGGGAUGUAUUUAUUAGAUUGAAACCAAUGCGGGGCAACCCGGUAUUGUGGUGAAUCAUGAUAACUUUGCGGAUCGCAUGGCCUCGCGCCGGCGAUGAAUCAUUCAAGUUUCUGCCCUAUCAGCUUUGGAUGGUAGGGUAUUGGCCUACCAUGGCUUUGACGGGUAACGGAGAAUUGGGGUUCGAUUCCGGAGAGGGAGCCUGAGAGAUGGCUACCACAUCCAAGGAAGGCAGCAGGCGCGUAAAUUACCCAAUCCCGAUACGGGGAGGUAGUGACAAUAAAUAACAAUACAGGGCUUUAUAGUCUUGUAAUUGGAAUGAGUACAAUUUAAAUCUCUUAACGAGGAACAAUUGGAGGGCAAGUCUGGUGCCA
rnacentral:rRNA from 1 species